rnacentral:misc_RNA from 1 species
UCCGACUUAACGUCGGCAGUCUCGUUAGAGUGCCCGGCUUACCCGUUGGCAACUAACGACAGGGGUUGCGCUCGUUGCGGGACUUAACCCAACAUCUCACGACACGAGCUGACGACAGUCACGCAGCACCUGUGUUACGGUUCCCUUUCGGGCACUCUCCCAUCUCUGGGAGAUUCCGUACAUGUCAAGGGUAGGUAAGGUUUUUCGCGUUGCAUCGAAUUAAUCCACAUAAUCCACCGCUUGUGCGGGUCCCCGUCAAUUCCUUUGAGUUUUAAUCUUGCGACCGUACUCCCCAGGCGGAAUGCUUAAAGCGUUAGCUGCGCCACUGACGAGCAAGCUCGCCAACGGCUAGUUGACAUCGUUUACGGCGUGGACUAC